AGAAUUGUUGAUUUAGGGAUUGAUAGGUGAGUUUUGACAUUGUAGUUGGUGGAUUUAAGCUUAAGUGCUGAAAUUUGAGGGUUUUGAUGCAAUUUUGAUAUUUUUGUAUUUAGAUCUUUGGAGGAUGUUGAGUUUUGGACUUGAAGGUGAUACUCCAUCAUAGUUCACUGGUGUUGGGACCUUUUCUCACCUAAUUUGGAGAUCAGAAGGUGAAAUCGAUAUUGAGAUUGAUGUGAAUUUAAGCUUUAGUGCUGAAUUUUGGAUUAUUGAUGGAUUUUGUUGUUUAAAUCCUUAGAGAGG
rnacentral:lncRNA from 1 species